rnacentral:misc_RNA from 1 species
ACAAACUUGGUCAUUUAGAGGAAGUAAAAGUCGUAACAAGGUUUCCGUAGGUGAACCUGCGGAAGGAUCAUUGACAAGUCCGCUGUGCGCCAGGGUGGUCUUUUAGUUCUCUUGGCUUUGGGCAUUUGUCCAUUGGCUCGUGGCUUCUGGGCCCGGCGACACACGCCCCGUGCUCUGCACGCGACACCCUACCGUCUGACCGACGCCGAUCUGGAAAUGCAAACUUUUAACAAUGGAUCUCUUGGCUCCCGCAUCGAUGAAGAACGCAGC